rnacentral:rRNA from 1 species
UGUAAACUGCUUUUGUACGGAACGAAACGGUGAGCUCUAAUACAGUUCGCUAAUGACGGUACCGUAAGAAUAAGCACCGGCUAACUACGUGCCAGCAGCCGCGGUAAUACGUAGGGUGCGAGCGUUAAUCGGAAUUACUGGGCGUAAAGCGUGCGCAGGCGGUGAUGUAAGACAGAUGUGAAAUCCCCGGGCUCAACCUGGGACCUGCAUUUGUGACUGCAUCGCUAGAGUACGGUAGAGGGGGAUGGAAUUCCGCGUGUAGCAGUGAAAUGCGUAGAUAUGCGGAGGAACACCGAUGGCGAAGGCAAUCCCCUGGACCUGUACUGACGCUCAUGCACGAAAGCGUGGGGAGCAAACAGGAUUAGAUACCCUGGUAGUCCACGCCCUAAACGAUGUCAACUGGUUGUUGGGUCUUCACUGACUCAGUAACGAAGCUAACG